GAGGGAGAGAUUGCAGAGAAGGCAGAGAAGCAAAAGGAGAGAUAUUAUUGGGGUUGUGGAAGGAGACCCGGGGGUUUGUCAGGCAGUGCUGUCAAAUAUGAAGAUAAAGAAAUAAACCAUGAAAACACUAAUUUAAAAAAGAAUAAAAAUAAAAAAAGCAUUGCUCCUGACAUUUGUAUCCCAACCCAAUCAAAUGUUGCCACCUAUCAUGCAUUUUGACUUCUCCUUUCCUAUUCCCUUCUGUCAUCUGCCCUUAAAUGCUCCUUUUUUUUUUUUUUGGGUCUAAAACCUUCAAUCCUCCCGAGCCCCCAUGAUUGACCUCCCUUCAAUUCUCACUUGCAAUUAGGGCUCGUUAAUGGGUCGGGUCGGGCUAGUUCGGCCUAAAUUUAAUGGGUUUGGGCCGGGCUUUAAAGAGGAAAAAGAUAAUAUCGGACCGGGCCGGGUCGGGUUUUUUUAGAAAAUUCAAAGCUCAAGCCCG
rnacentral:lncRNA from 1 species